rnacentral:lncRNA from 1 species
UAGGUCUCUAGACGUUACAGAGAACCCCGAACAACCCAAACUGUUAAUCUUCAAUACCGCUUUGUACUUACGAUCUUGUAUCCACUGACUCUCUUGUUAGAUUAACCCAAUAAAUUUCAUUCACUCCGCAUACUCAAUCCUAUAGACGCCCUUUUAAUCCUUCAAUCAUAGACGUAACUCGAUUUCACAAAACAGUCAAGAGUAUUCAAACCCACUUCAUUUAAAAAUCCCGAUUCACCAUUACAACACUGACUUCAGCAGCGAUUGCCUCAGUCUUCUCAAAACUCUAUGAAGAAGAGAAAUCCAAAUUCUAUGUCUUUCCUUCCCCGACCCGAAGCAUGAAGCUCCUCUCUCUAAUUCCCUUGAUCUUCAAAAACCUCCAAUGAAAAACCGAACUCAUAACCUUGCAAAAGCUUGAAAAACUCGCUCCUCCUCGAUUCCCCCCUAACCUUAUCCUCUGAAUUUCUUCAAUCUUCCGUCUUAGAUCCGGAAUUGGCCCCCACCGUCAAGCUUGGAUCCGAAAUUGGCUCUCGUCGUCACAGCUUUCUCCUCCAUUUUUACCUUUAAGAAAUCCAUUUACCGAAACAACGUUCCCUGAAAUGGCACAGAGAACAGGACAGCCUGAAACAGAAUCGUACCCCAUAAUCGGGACCACAUUGAGUCGCCCGACCAAUUCAGGUCCUAUAUUGGAAAAGAUGCUCAUAAUAACCUGGAUGUUCCCGUAAUUGGAUCAAAUUGGUCCUCGCGACAGAUUGGCUAAGACCCGUAGUAAGACCUGGAUUCCCCGUAAUUAGACUGCAUUGGGUUGACCGGCCAAUUCAGGUCUCAUAUUGGAUAAGAGGACCCGGAUUGGAUUAUCAAAAUUGGAUCCUAUUGGCUCCUUAAACCCAUCGUGUGAAUUGGUCCUUCUCUUCUUACUGACUCCCAUUAUUGGAAUCGAACGGAGCAUUUCAGUAUGCCCCGGCUUACAAGCUUUAACCAAUGCUUUCACAAUCGGUGGAAGACCACGUUUGCUUUUUGCAUUCCCUUCUAGAUUAUAAGCAGUAGUAAGUGAUAGUUUAACUCUACAUUUUUCAAAGAACUUACGACCUUCUUGUGCAUUUAAUUCUCCACGAUCUGCAGUGAUUUUUCCUACGCACCGGUAACGGCAAAUGACAUCUUCAAGCAAAAACCUACAAAUCCCCUCUGUAGAUUUUGUCCUCAAUGCUCUUCCUUCUACUUGAUUUGAUAAAUCUUCACAAGCUAAAACCAAAUAUCUCAUCUGCCAUAACCCAACCGGCAUAAUAACCAAAUCAACAAUCCAUUUAAAAUGAAUAGCCAAAGGAUACGUAGGAUGAAGACCAUCUCGAUGUCGGAUAUUAGAAUACGAUUGACAGAUUUUACAUGACUCUACAAAUGAGAGCACAUCUCGAUACAUAUUUUUCCACCAAUAUCGUUCCUUGAGUUUAGCAAAAGUAGCCCAGAUUCCUCUAUGCCCUGCCCAUAAACUAUCAUGAAACUCCUUUAAUAAUUUUAGUUUUUCUUCCCUUUUGCCUAUCACUCGUUGUGGCAUCCCAAUUCCUUUCUUCGGUCUCUUCCAUAAGAAUCCAUCUCGAAGUAAAAAUCCAUAUGCUUUUUUUCUUAUUUGUUUGAAUUUUUCUGUAGACCAAUUCCCCUGCUUAGACAAGGUAUUCAAAUAAUGACCAAUAUCCAAUAAUUCUCCUUCAUAAGAUUCUUCAAGAAAUAGCUUGUCUUCUCUGUUGAGAUUUGAUAUUGAAUAAAAUUUCAAUCCGACAUCAUCAAUGUCUUCAACCAUUUCGUCCUCCCUCUCGUAUCUUGCUCGAGAUAGCAUGUCUGCUACUAAAUUGUCCUUUCCAGUGAUAUGCUUAAAUUCUGGAUUUAGUGACUUAAUAUAAGCAAUCCAUCUCAACAUUGUAAUAUCUGGCGUUGAACAGUUAAUAAUCAUUCCAAGCAAUGGCAAGCAAUCUGUUUCAAUUACUACUACUGCCCCAAUCAAAUAGUCCUUUUCAGCUUUCAUAGCCGAAACGACUCCCCAAAGUUCUCUUUUGACUUGCAAAUAUGCACGCUGACGAAUACUUAAAACUUUAGCCCCAAAUCGAACUGCAAAUCUACUCCCAUUCGAAUCAUCUUGACCCACCGCCCAUCCAACGGCAAUUGGACUAGCGUCUACAGUAAGAAUCACUGCUCUAUUGCACUUAUAAUCAACAUUCCUCAAUAUUGGAGGUGACAUCAAUAAUUUCUUCAAUCUUUGCAUUGCCUGAAUAUGCCUUUCUUUCCAUUCAAAUCGGUAACCCUUGCGUAACAGUUCAUAUAAUGGAUCCGCUAUGUGAGCAAAAUGAGGGAUCCAGAUUCGAUAAAAUACACAUGCACCCAAAAACCUGCGAACCUCUGUUAAAGAACCACAAUCCUCUUUCAUCCUUCCAAUUGCAUCAACUUUAGUCGGAUCUGGUUUUCUUCCGUAAGAUCCGCACAAAUGUCCAACAAUAACAACCUCUCGCACUCCAAAUACGGACUUCAUACCCGAUAAUGUAAGAUGAACUUCUCCAAGCCGAGUUAAAAACUUUUCACAAUCUUGUAUAUGAUCAACAACAUAUCUGCGACACCCCCUCGUAUCUAAAGUUUCAUCCUUGUCUCCUUCUCUGCACCCCUUUAUAGGAACAUCAUCCAAAAAAGGCAUAGUCUUUUCCGGGAUAAAAUCUCUCAAUACCUUAUUCAUCCCAUUCAUCAUAUGCGCAACUGAGUUGGUCGUGCCUUGAGGAAAAGUGCACAUUCUAACCAAUCCAAGCGGUGUCCUCAUCGUUGUCAUAUCUCCACUUCCUUCGGCAAGUUGAAAUUGAUCAUAACCUGAAUACAAAUCACCCAUUGAAUAGAUCGCCCUUCCAGCAAACGCCUCAGCAAAUUCAUUCACAAUAGGUCCAACUCUUACAUUCCUCUUCAGUAAACUGAUGUCCAAUACUCAUUGGAUCUCUUAAACUUGCUUCUUUUGAUGCUUCUCCCAUUUGUUUUUUAGAAUCCUCUGGUAAUGGUCCGGCAACAGGCUUUACCUUCUUAUCUGCCGUUUUAUAUCUCGUCUCUAUUGUGACUUCUGGUGCUUGAAAAGAUUCAAGCAUGGUAUAAACCUCUCUCGAAUGAAUCUCAACAAUCUUAUCAUUAUCCUCUAACCGAAUAGAUGUAAUCAAUUCCAAUGAAUCUUCCAACCCAUUUUCUUCAUAAAUACCCAAAAUCCUCUCAUCAUCUUGCAAUGUACCUAUCUUGCGUAACUGUCCUUCAAUAUCAUAUAAUCUUUUUCUUUCUUUUCUUUUAAAAUCAUCCACUUUCUUAUACAUAAUAUUUCCAUUCUCCAAUAUACCAAUAAAACUCGCAUCAAAGGCACCUUCAUCUCGAGAGAGUACCUCCUCUUUUGUACCUCCAUAAUCUCGCUUUACAGUGGUACCUCCCCAAAAUCCUUAAAUCCUUCAACAAUCUUUGGCAAUGGUUUCUCCCUCAACCUAUCUCGAUUCCGUUCAUGGUUAGGAGGUACUGUUAGAAAUUGUACAGCUUUCCUCCCAUCUUCGCUCCGUACCCUUGCAUAAGCAGAACCAUCGUCAAGUACCUUUGUUUCCAUCCGUGUUGCCGUGAUAUAAGGUUGUCCUAAAAUCAACGGAUAAGACGUUGUAUCUUGAAUGAAGAAAUGUUGCUCCGUAGCAACAUCCCCAAUCCGAAUUUUGACAUCUGGACAAGCUCCAUAUAAUUCGCCUCGUGUGUUAUUAGCUGCUCGUAUUGCCCAUCCAUGUUCCAUAUCAAUUGGCCAUUUUUGCUUCUUAUAAAGAUCUUUAGACAUGAGAUUUAUUUCAGAACCAUGGUCGACCAAAGCAACUAUUGGUUCUUCUAUAUCUCCUACCUUCACCAAUACCUCAGUAGUUGCCCUUGCCCAAUGCUUUCGAGUAUAAUGGCUCAAAGUUUCCAUUUCCUUGUCACUAGAAUCUUCGAAACAUACUCACUAAUUAUACCCAUUCUUUUCAUUUAUUGGUUGCUUGUAACCAAUAUCAACCUCUUCUUGAUCUCUACAUAUUCUUGCAUCAAUAGCAUGACUCAUUCUAGUUUCGCUCAUUAAUUGCCUCUUUCGCUUAAUGCUGUCAAUGAUAACAUCAUGAAACUCCUUCUUUGCAAUUCCCAAGACUUCUUUCAAUGUGAAUUCCACCUUAGCGUUUAAUAUACAUUCUUCCAACACCCCUUUCAAAUUUGUUGCCGCUUCAAUGUCAGAAAGUAGCUUAUAAGUAAUUGAUUUGCCCUUAUCUUUUGUCUCCGUUGUUUUUUCUCCCAAUGAUGCUGAGGUAUCCUUUACAGGCAAUUCUUGUGAAGCUGCCUCCCGAGCCUUGUCUCCUCAAGUUUGCCUCUUAAAAGAAUUUCCUUCUCUAGUAUCAUCAAAAUUUCCUCGUCUUUUUUCUACCAUCAAAGCUUCAUGUUGGCUCUUAGCAAUAUAUGCAUGAACUGAAAAGAGACUCAACAAGAUCCUCCCAACCUGUUCUUCCUCGUAUUGUAGCUGCAGUUCUCAAUAACGCUUCUCGAGGUAAUUUCCCUUCUUGCAUUGUAGAAACGGCAGAAGCCCAAAACUCACUAGUUUCCGUACUUCCACCAAUUGCAUCAUCUACCCUAGCACCAUAACUUGUUCUUUCUCGUACUACUGUUUCAUGCUCUUUUAAGUAAUCUUGAUCAAUGCUCUCAUUCCUCCCUUGCCAAAAUUGGUUUGAAGAAGAUCCUCCCUAUCUUUCAAUGCUAUCUUCCCAUCUUUCCAGCAAAUAAUUCCCUGCCGUAUCAUAUUAUUAAAUUCAUUGCAAUCUUUUCUAGUGUGUGAAGCAUCAUCACACCAAAUGCAUCUUUGUACAUAUCCUUGUUUUGAAACAUUCUUCGAAUUGUUUAUAGAAGUAUUCUCUUCAAGUCUUGCCAAUUUGAUUUGAAGAUCUCGCAUUCCUCGUAUAAUUUCUUCCAUACCCAUAUCUGCUUUCUUUGACAAGGAUGUCGAAGGUUGAACUGUAGGCAUUGUUGGUGGUGUUGUACGUACUGGAGCUUUGGGUGCUUAUACUGUUUUCGGAAUAUUGCUCCUAUCCUUCCUCCUUUCUUUUUUUGUAAGCAACCCCACCGCAUCUUCAAUGUUCUUCCACUUCGUUGUCAAUCCUUCAUCUUCUUCUUUGUCUUCAAGAAGGGGUUCUAAUUUCUCUUGCAAUUCUCCAUCAGCAGUUUGAAGAAAUAGAUCAACUUUGUUCGGCUCCGAUGUCAAUUUUUCUACCUUCGAUAAUUGAGAGUACUGCCUCUCAAAUUCCCUUAGUAGCUCUGCUGCUUGGAAAUUCUUAUUGGGCCGUUCAAUCCAUCCCAGAAACAGCUUCUUAGUAACGCAAUCAACAUCUUCUAAGAAAUAUUCGUCUUUCAAUGCAUGUGAAAAAUCCUCCCAUGAAUUCCCACAACGAUCCGUAAUCGAUGUAAUGUGGUCCCUUAUCUCCGGUAUCGUGGCAAGUCCAAAUGGUGCAACCAUUUUCUUCAUCAGAAAUCCGAUUUAAUUCCAUUUCACGAACAUAACAUCUUAAAUACCUUGAAAUAUUCCUCCCAUCAAAUUGAUCAAUUUUAUUGAUCACUGCUUGUAAUGCUUUGGUUGCCAAAGCUUCCUUUCGAUCAUUGCUUUGCUGUUGCUGCAUUGACAAUGAGAAGUGCUUGAAACAAACUAGCAAUAGACGGAUCCAUGUGCAUACCUUGUCCUUUAGAAGACUCCCCACCAGAAACUUCUCCCAAAAAUCCUUCAAAAUUUUUAUUUUUGUUUUCCAUAAAAAUAAAGAUAAAAUCAACUGAAAUCCAAUACCUUCUACCUCAAGCUUUCACGUCGGGUUCACCAGUUAUGUCGUAUUACGUGCUUUCCUGCUCGAGAACGCGCCGGGCGUCUCGCUGUAGAAGGUAGUAUGGAGAUUCGCCGAUAGUCAAGCAGUCUAUCAGUUUUUGACUGCUGGAAUAUAAACGACUGCAACAAUGUACCGUAAAUCUAUACGGAUGCUCUUCGACUGCUUGUCGAAGUCCUUUUUGCCCCAGCCGAUAGGUCUCUAGACGUUACAGAGAACCCCGUACAACCCAAACUGUUAACCUUCAAUACUGCUUUGUACUUAUGAUCUUGUAUCCACUGACUGUCUUGUUAGAUUAACAUAAUAAAUUUCAUUCACUCCGCAUACUCAAUCCUAUAGACACCCUUUUAAUCCUUCAAUCACAGACGUAACUCGAUUUUACAAAACAGUCAAGAGUAUUCAAACCCACUUCAUUUAAAAAUCCUGAUUCACCAUUACAACACUACUUUCAGCAGCGAUUGCCUCAGUCUUCCCAAAACCCUAUGAAGAAGAAAAAUCCAAAUUCUAUGUCUUUCCUUCCCCGACCCGAAGCAUGAAGCUCCUCUCUCUAAU